rnacentral:rRNA from 1 species
AACGAACGCUGGCGGCAUGCCUAACACAUGCAAGUCGAACGAGACCUUCGGGUCUAGUGGCGCACGGGUGCGUAACGCGUGGGAACCUGCCCUUAGGUUCGGGAUAACUCCCCGAAAGGGGUGCUAAUACCGGAUAAUGUCUUCGGACCAAAGAUUUAUCGCCUUUGGAUGGGUCCGCGUUGGAUUAGCUAGUUGGUAGGGUAAAAGCCUACCAAGGCGACGAUCCAUAGCUGGUCUGAGAGGAUGAUCAGCCACACUGGGACUGAGACACGGCCCAGACUCCUACGGGAGGCAGCAGUGGGGAAUAUUGGACAAUGGGCGAAAGCCUGAUCCAGCAAUGCCGCGUGAGUGAUGAAGGCCUUAGGGUUGUAAAGCUCUUUUACCCGGGAUGAUAAUGACAGUACCGGGAGAAUAAGCUCCGGCUAACUCCGUG